rnacentral:rRNA from 1 species
GUUUACGUAGGUGAACCUGAGGAAGGAUCAUUG